GACUGUUCCAGUAUCCUAAGUGGUUAGAGUGUCUGCCUUUUAUGCAGGAGGUCACAGGUUCAAACCUGGCAGAGUCA